rnacentral:rRNA from 1 species
AUGCCGCGUGUGUGAAGAAGGCCUUCGGGUUGUAAAGCACUUUCAGUAGGGAGGAAGGUAGUGUAGUUAACACCUGCAUUAUUUGACGUUACCUACAGAAGAAGCACCGGCUAACUCCGUGCCAGCAGCCGCGGUAAUACGGAGGGUGCGAGCGUUAAUCGGAAUUACUGGGCGUAAAAGCGCAUGCAGGCGGCCUGUUUAAGUCAGAUGUGAAAGCCCGGGGCUUAACCUCGGAAUUGCAUUUGAAAACUGGCAGGCUAGAGUCUUGUAGAGGGGGUAGAAUUUCAGGUGUAGCGGUGAAAAUGCGUAGAGAUCUGAAGGAAUACCAGUGGCGAAGGCGGCCCCCUGGACAAAGACUGACGCUCAGAUGCGAAAAGCGUGGGGAGCAAACAGGAUUAGAUACCCUGGUAG